rnacentral:rRNA from 1 species
UGGCAUCACGAGGGCUUAACUGUCUCCCCUCCCCAGUCAAUGAAAUUGAUCUCCCCGUGCAGAAGCGGGGAUAAUACCAUAAGACGAGAAGACCCUAUGGAGCUUUAGACGUCAGAGCAGCCCAUGUAAAGCACCCCUUAACAAAGGAAAAAACCAAAUGAAGCCUGCCCUAAUGUCUUUGGUUGGGGCGACCGCGGGGAAAUACAAAACCCCCAUGUGGAGUAGGAAUACACAUUCCUAAACCCAAGAGCUCCCGCUCUAAUGAACAGAAAUUCUGACCAAUAAGAUCCGGCACACGCCGAUCAACGGACCGAGUUACCCUAGGGAUAACAGCGCAAUCCCCUUAAAGAGCCCUUAUCGACAAGGGGGUUUACGACCUCGAUGUUGGAUCAGGACAUCCUAAUGGUGCAGCCGCUAUUAAGGGUUCGUUUGUUCAACGAUUAAAGACCUACGUGAGCGGACUGAG